rnacentral:rRNA from 1 species
AACAAACGCUGGCGGCGUGCCUAAUACUUGCAAGUCGAACGGGGAAAGUCUACGGAUGAGUACUAGUGGCAUACGGGUGAGCAAUACGUAGGUAAUCUGCCCUAAGGUGGGGAACAACUAGCCGAAAGGUUAGCUAGUACCGCAUAAGACCACAAGAUCUGCGGAUCUAGGGGUUAAAGACUUCGGUCGCCAUAGGAUGA